UGGGGAAUAUUGGACAAUGGGGGGAACCCUGAUCCAGCAAUGCCGCGUGUGUGAAGAAGGCCUUCGGGUCGUAAACCCCUGUCGAAUGGGACGAAUAAUCCGCGGGUUAAUACCGCGCGGAAAUGACGGUACCGUUAAAGGAAGCCACGGCUAACUCUGUGCCAGCAGCCGCGGUAAUACAGAGGUGGCAAGCGUUGUUCGGAAUUACUGGGCGUAAAGGGCGCGUAGGCGGCCUUCUAAGUCAGACGUGAAAUCCCCCGGCUUAACCUGGGAACUGCGUCUGAUACUGGGAAGCUUGAGUAUGGGAGAGGGAUGUAGAAUUCCAGGUGUAGCGGUGAAAUGCGUAGAUAUCUGGAGGAAUACCGGUGGCGAAGGCGGCAUCCUGGACCCAUAACUGACGCUGAGGCGCGAAAGCUAGGGGAGCAAACGGGAUUAGAUACCCACGUAGUCCCUGAGCGGGCUGGCAAGGCGCAU
rnacentral:rRNA from 1 species